AGGUUACAAGAUCCCAGUUAUUGAGAACCUUGGAGCAACUUUGGUAAGCUUAGCAAAUCAAACAUGCAUACUGUACCAGAUUUUCAGGCUAGGCUUGGGCAGUUUUCGGGAAAAAAAGAAAACAGUUGCAAACGAAAACAGAUAAAACCGGUUUUUCUCUGCCGUCCUGAUGCUUAAAACCCCUUUAAUUAUGUCAUUGAAUUUUUCCAAAAAGACGCAAAAAACGGACUGCGAAAAAUAAUACCAAGGUCAAUAUUACAGUUUUUUCUUGCUUCUCUAAAAUACUUCAUAACUAAAACGAGGAAGCCAACACCAAGAAAAGAAGAUUGGCUACAGGCUAUCCAUGCGCAUUCUGAUCAAGGUUUGUCGCUUUUCAGUCUCGUGUACACAUGUAGGUCUCGCAUAUUGUACGAAUAAAUGGCGAUUUUCCAAUAUAGGCGAAACCGUAAAUUAAACUGGUUUUAAAAAAUCCCCAGUGGUCAAUGCUUAUGCUUUUUCACUUUUUCCUGCAAUGUGCAGUUUUCUCAUUACCCAAUCCGUACUUAAUUUCGCGCAUCCUUAAUUUCGCGAUUUUUGAAGGCAAUAUUUUAGAUAUAUUGUAUUAUAGAGACUUUGUUUUUCCUAGGCGAAAAUAGAAAAGCGGCAUUAAAUUUUGCGAAAGCUUUCUGAGCAACAUUUUAUUUUCUACAAAAAAAUUUACUGUAACGUUCAAUACCAGUCAACAUAAGGUAUAUAUUGUGUGUACGGUAGUCAUCAUUCUUGCGGGUAACAAGACAAAAUGCAAACUGUAGCAUUUUGUUAUUUAUGUCGAUAUAUUGAGCUUCACAUGUUUUUGAUCAUAUUGAUCAAGAAUUUUAUUAUUCCAAUUUUUGACUAGGGUGUUUAAUUUCGCAUGUGUAAAUUCCUCGCUGCAAACACAUGACAUUGAUGUGAAAAGAGUCAGUUAUUCCUCUGCCGAAAGUUGUGGGUUUUCUCCGAGUACUCAAUUUCCCCCCACACGGAAUUUUGACAGGGUGGGUUGGGACUAGACCCUAACUGACCCUUCUAUUGUACAGUAGCUGUGCCAUGUGAUCAGACAUGUGUCAUUUUAAGGUAGCAGCGUUUGAAAGCUGUGUGCUUCGCAUUUCAGCUUAGCUUUCAGCUGCACACCACCAGUAAUUCCCUUACUAAGAGUCUAGGGAAGUCCAAUACAGAUCUAGGAAAUAUAUUUCUCUUCCUGGAAGCAAAAUCCAAAAGUUAGAAUUUCUUGUGUAAGUCAAUUAUAAAACUUCCUGCGUAUGUAGACCUCAGAGAGCGUAUAUGGUGCCACACAGGGUGAUAUAAUCAUGGCACAAGACAAUCUCGACUUGCAAAAACGCUUUUGUAAAUAAUAAGUGAAUCACAUGGCAUUCCAGUAUAAAAGAUGACAGAAAUUCCUGCGAAGAUAUUUUGUUAAACAUUUCCUGGUAGUGCUGCUGCUAGCAGGUGCUGCCGGACAUUUUGCAGCACUGAUCCAAUUCUAAACAGAACAUUUGAAGAGUAUAAAUUUAACAAACAGUACUCUGCUACUUAAAUCAUCAGGCAUUAUAGUGAGUCGAUCAAAUAAGCAAGUGAUACUGUAUUAUAUAGCAACUGUGAUUCGUAAAGUGCAUCUUAAUAUAGUUCAAUGCAUUGACAUGUGGGUUUUUUCUUAGGAUCAGUUUGACACAAUAAAUUUUUCGGAUAAUGAUAUCAAGAAGUUGGAAGGAUUUCCAUUGUUGAAGAGACUGAAAUGUUUGUUAGUCAACAACAACAGAGUAUGGUGAGUAUUAUAACGAAAUUUAUAACUAGAUUUUAUAUCAAAGCCUAAGAUCCCUAUUCAUGAACAGUACAGUAUGGGCAGAAUUAGAAAGUUCAAACAUUUAUGUUAAGAAAUAUUUGCAGUAUAUUACAGUAGAGUGUAUAAAAAAUCUUAGUCCUUAUUUCAAACACAGAUUUCGGCAAGUAUAAAAUGGCAGAACUUUUGGGCAGGUAGGUGCAUGAUUGAGAUGGAAAAAUAAAACACUAGAGACAUUAAUACAUAACUAUUAACUAAACUAAACUAAAAACAAUACAAUACAAACUGCAGGGCCACCAGCAAAUUAAGUUGCUGUAUACAUGUCAAGUUAGUUUUCCAUUCGAUAGGUUAGGUCAGGUGUAAGAGUAUCGUGCAUGUUUGUUUCGUCUAUGCCCUUAGAUUUUCGUAGCCCAUGGCUAAAGUACAGUAAGCAUAAUGUAGGUUAAAGUAAACGUGCCCAUGUAUAGUAGUCUUGAGAGUUACGUGUAUUGAGAUCUAAUGGUUUUUAUGCAUAUAUAUAUUUUGACUGCAAGUAUGGAUGGACAAGGCCAAGGUAAGGUUCCUGUUAAACUUGAUGAAUGGCGUCACCCAGAAAUAUUCCUUAAUACAUGUCAUUACCACUGAAUGAUAAGUCCUCACAGAGUUGGAUGACUGCACGUUAAGUUGUGUUCUAUUUGUAUAAUACAGUUUAUAACCUUCAAAUAAUCGGUUCAUGUCGAUUUAAUUCCAUUGGCCUCAUUAUCACGAUUUGGGUUAAAUGAGCUGCAAUUAGGAUGCGAUUAAGAUUUUAACGGAUGGAAUUUAAUGAGAACCAAACCAUGCCAUGGAAGAAAACGUACAAUGAAACGCCAGUGAACUCUACCGGGUGUCCCAAAAAAAACUUGCGCUGUUUGAUUUAAUGUAACAUAAGAACUAUACAAGCUAUUGCACUCAAAUAAGUUGUAUUGCAUUCAGAAAGGGCUAACUUAGAUUUUGAUAUAUAACAUUUGAAUAUCCGUGCAAUCUUUACUGAGCUAUCGAUGUUUUAAAUCGAAUAAGCAUAUUUGACAAUGUUAAAAAAUUGCAUAAAAUUGCCAAUCAAAUAUUAUUUGGUUAAACUUGAUUAAUAUAUAGUUUUAUUGUGGCCAAAAGAACGAAUAAAAAACAUAAUUGUUGGAUAAACAUUUAUUCAUUUAUCAUAGAAAGUAUGUCCCCUUGCACGUACAGUAUACAAUGUCUUGCACGGGAAAACAUAAAAGCCAAACUUUUUCAUCUUUUGUUAAUCGAAGCAUAUUCAAAAGGCGAACGAGGACCAACUUUACAAUACGAAC
rnacentral:lncRNA from 1 species